AGAUCGCUGGGCGCAGCCUGAUCCAGCAAUGCCGCGUGAGUGAAGAAGGCCUUCGGGUUGUAAAGCUCUUUUGUCAGGGAAGAAACGGCUCAGGCUAAUAUCUUGAGCUAAUGACGGUACCUGAAGAAUAAGCACCGGCUAACUACGUGCCAGCAGCCGCGGUAAUACGUAGGGUGCAAGCGUUAAUCGGAAUUACUGGGCGUAAAGCGUGCGCAGGCGGUUUUGUAAGUCUGACGUGAAAUCCCCGGGCUCAACCUGGGAAUUGCGUUGGAGACUGCAAGGCUGGAGUCUGGCAGAGGGGGGUAGAAUUCCACGUGUAGCAGUGAAAUGCGUAGAGAUGUGGAGGAACACCGAUGGCGAAGGCAGCCCCCUGGGUCAAGACUGACGCUCAUGCACGAAAGCGUGGGGAGCAAACAGGAUUAGAUACCCUGGUAGUCCACGCCCUAAACGAUGUCUACUAGUUGUCGGGUUUUAAUUAACUUGGUAACGCAGCUAACGCGUGAAGUAGACCGCCUGGGGAGUACGGUCGCAAGAUUAAAACUCAAUGAAUUUGACGGA
rnacentral:rRNA from 1 species